GAUGAACGCUGGCGGCGUGCUUAACACAUGCAAGUCGAACGGUGAAGCCAAGCUUGCUUGGUGGAUCAGUGGCGAACGGGUGAGUAACACGUGAGCAACCUGCCCCGGACUCUGGGAUAAGCGCUGGAAACGGCGUCUAAUACCGGAUAUGAACCACAGCCGCAUGGUUGGUGGUUGGAAAGAUUUUUUGGUUCGGGAUGGGCUCGCGGCCUAUCAGCUUGUUGGUGAGGUAAUGGCUCACCAAGGCGUCGACGGGUAGCCGGCCUGAGAGGGUGACCGGCCACACUGGGACUGAGACACGGCCCAGACUCCUACGGGAGGCAGCAGUGGGGAAUAUUGCACAAUGGGCGGAAGCCUGAUGCAGCAACGCCGCGUGAGGGAUGACGGCCUUCGGGUUGUAAACCUCUUUUAGCAAGGAAGAAGCGAAAGUGACGGUACUUGCAGAAAAAGCGCCGGCUAACUACGUGCCAGCAGCCGCGGUAAUACGUAGGGCGCAAGCGUUAUCCGGAAUUAUUGGGCGUAAAGAGCUCGUAGGCGGUUUGUCGCGUCUGCUGUGAAAACUGGAGGCUCAACCUCCAGCCUGCAGUGGGUACGGGCAGACUAGAGUGCGGUAGGGGAGAUUGGAAUUCCUGGUGUAGCGGUGGAAUGCGCAGAUAUCAGGAGGAACACCGAUGGCGAAGGCAGAUCUCUGGGCCGUAACUGACGCUGAGGAGCGAAAGGGUGGGGAGCAAACAGGCUUAGAUACCCUGGUAGUCCACCCCGUAAACGUUGGGAACUAGUUGUGGGGGCCAUUCCACGGUCUCCGUGACGCAGCUAACGCAUUAAGUUCCCCGCCUGGGGAGUACGGCCGCAAGGCUAAAACUCAAAGGAAUUGACGGGGACCCGCACAAGCGGCGGAGCAUGCGGAUUAAUUCGAUGCAACGCGAAGAACCUUACCAAGGCUUGACAUAUACGAGAACGGGCCAGAAAUGGUCAACUCUUUGGACACUCGUAAACAGGUGGUGCAUGGUUGUCGUCAGCUCGUGUCGUGAGAUGUUGGGUUAAGUCCCGCAACGAGCGCAACCCUCGUUCUAUGUUGCCAGCACGUAAUGGUGGGAACU
rnacentral:rRNA from 1 species